rnacentral:misc_RNA from 1 species
GAUGAAGAACGUAGCGAAAUGCGAUAAGUAGUGUGAAUUGCAGAAUUCAGUGAAUCAUCGAAUCUUUGAACGCACAUUGCGCCCCUUGGUAUUCCAUGGGGCAUGCCUGUUCGAGCGUCAUUUGUACCUUCAAGCUCUGCUUGGUGUUGGGUGUUUGUCUCGCCUCUGCGUGUAGACUCGCCUCAAAACAAUUGGCAGCCGGCGUAUUGAUUUCGGAGCGCAGUACAUCUCGCGCUUUGCACUCAUAACGACGACGUCCAAAAGUACAUUUUUACACUCUUGACCUCGGAUCAGGUAGGGAUACCCGCUGAACUUAAGCAUAUCAAUGAGCGGAGGA